AUAGCGUAUAUUAAAGUUGUUGCAGUUAAAAAGCUCGUAGUUGGAUUUCAAAGUGGAGGUAGGGAAACUUACCGAAGCUUAUCAGUCCGAAAGGACUGUUACUGUGAGAAAAUUAGAGUGUUUCAAGCAGGCUUUUGCAGGAAUACAUUAGCAUGGAAUAACGAGUGUAUCUAGAAUCUUGGUUAAUUCUAGAAUGCGAUUAAUAGGGACAGUUGGGGGCAUUAGUAUUUAAUUGUCAGAGGUGAAAUUCUUGGAUUUAUUAAAGACUAACGUAUG
rnacentral:rRNA from 1 species